rnacentral:piRNA from 1 species
UCAUACUCUUUACCUUUACUGGGCAUAGUA